rnacentral:rRNA from 1 species
CCUACGGGAGGCAGCAGUGAGGAAUAUUGGUCAAUGGGCGGAAGCCUGAACCAGCCAAGUAGCGUGCAGGAUGACGGCCCUACGGGUUGUAAACUGCUUUUAUACGGGAAUAACGCGCCUUACGUGUAGGGCUUUGCAUGUACCGUAUGAAUAAGGACCGGCUAAGUCCGUUCCAGCAGCCGCGGUAAUACGGAAGGUCCGGGCGUUAUCCGGAUUUGUUGGGGUUAAAGGGAGCGUAGGCCGCAUGUCAAGCGUGCUGUGAAAUGUCCGGGCUGAACCCGGGACUUGCAGCGCGUACUGGCGUGCGUGAGUCCGCUGAAGGCAGGCGGAAUUCGUGGUGUAGCGGUGAAAUGCUUAGAUAUGACGAAGAAUCCCGAUUGCGAAGGCAGCUUGCUGCAGCGGAACUGACGCUGAUGCUCGAAAGCGCGGGUAUCGAACAGGAUUAGAUACCCCUGUAGUC